AUCUAACAACGCAGUCUGGGCUCUGUGCCAAAGGCUGGUAUUUCACAGCAGCGACCGCCUUACAGAUGAGCUGUGGGAAGCAGGAGGGAGACUCUCUUAGGGUGCCACUACUAUGGAGACACAGCUGGGCUGAACAAGAUUUGCUUCAAACGACAACAAGAGAGACAGAAAGUGUCUGGUUCGACCGCUGCCCAAGCAGGCAGUAACCAGAAGAGCUAGCAGCCAAUCCGGCCAUGCUGCACUGUUCGAAACCAGCUCCACAUCUCAGCCAAUCAGUGACAUCAUUGAGGCCAGGGAAUUGCCUGUCCAAUCCAUCUCUCCACUUGCUGCUGAAGAACAUUCUGCCAUGGUUGUCCUCAUUCAAAAACAGUCCGACUCACUGGGAUAGAAGGCUAUCACCAUCCAUCAAAAGCUUCACCAUCAGUCUUGAAGCAUUUCAGCCCAUGUUGAAAGAGGGAGAAGGGGACAUACGCAUGAUAUUUGGCUAGGCAUAUAUACAGGGUGAAGGGAUGAAGUCUGAGGAGGAAUAAGAUGGAGUACUACUUGUAAUAUGGGACACUGAAGAAAGAAUGACAUGGAACUGGCUGUACGGAUGGUCCUAGUGGGAUGCUGAUCACCUAAUUUCCAUAACAGUAUUGAACAUUUAGUACUUCGUACACCAGGUAUGCUUGGUCUCUAAUUCUUUUGGGGUGUUGCCAGACUCUGCAAAUAUACAGGAGUUUGAAGUAUGUUCAAUACUGUGGUUAUAUCAGGCUUCCUUUUCUGCUGAAGUCAUGUGCCUAUAGACUUUGUUUUCAGAUUUGGAUCUGACCACCAUCAUCCAUACUUUUGUAACUUCAAGGCUGGACUACUGCUGUGUAGGGCUGUGUGAAACAACACCAUUUUGUUUCAACUUCUAUUUCACCAUUUUGAAGGAAUAGUGCUUUGUUUUGUCAUUUUGUUUCAUUUUGAAGCACUGUCCCAUUUCGUUUCAUUGAAACCUUUUCUCUGUUUCAACGCAUUUUGAUGUUUUGCUCAUAGGCUAUAAUGGGGAAUCAUGAAAAUGCCUAUAACUUUGUCGUUUCUUGACUGAUUCAGAAGAAAAUUGCAGAGAUGGUAUCCCCUUCUAAGGGUAAGAAGUCUGACAAGUUUCAAAAAGAUAGGUGCAUGGGUUCCAGGGAAACUGCACCUCACAGUGCUGAGAGCAAAACUCGUAUCACUUGCUGGCAGCGGCAGACUGCUGUCAUCCUAUGCACAGAUCUGGGGGCCCACACUACACAGGAGGGCUGUGCCAGACUUCUCCUGGGGGUGCGGGCUCCUGGAUCUGCACAUGGGAUGACAGGAGAUUGCUGUUGUCAUCUGGGACCAGCGCUGGGUACAGCCCGCAACCAGUACCAGGAAAUUUGCUGCUGCUGCUGGUCCCUGUCAUCCCACACAGGUCUGGGGGUCUGCACUCCUGGGAGGAGUCCAGCAGCACUGGGAGGGCAAGUUGAGCUCUGUGGCGCUGGUGGAGCUGCUCGGCGUGCAGCCCUGACUCUCCUGGCCUCCCACCACCAGGCUGCACUCUGAGCGGCUCCUCCAGCCCCAUAGA